rnacentral:lncRNA from 1 species
GCAAAUUGUCAUCCCUGGUCACUCCUCUCACAUGCCUUUUCUUCUAAGGUAAUUCUAGCAAUUAACAAGCUAACACAUUUGUCGUUAAAAAUGUUUCAGAAUUUCUUUGUAAGUAGUUGGGUGAGGUGAUCUUUUCCUCCCUGCUCGUAAGACAAGAAGAGAUGUUGGGUAGAGGCUCAGUCCAUAUAUCUUUCUGAAUAGCUGCGCCUCUGGCGUUAGUGGCAGUCAGCUGGGGUGGCCAACAGCUGUAGCCUCCCACCCUGCAUCCUGGGUCCACCAGCUGGGCAGUAACAAGGAGCCUGGACCAUGAGAGGGGCAGUUGUCUGCAUGGGUCCCACUGACCCGGCACUCCUCCAAGCUCCAUUUGCCUAGGGCCUGCUCUGUGCCCUGCGCUGUUCUGGAACUGGACAUAGCAAAGACCCUGCUCCAUGCAGGGCACGUGUGUUGGGGACGGAGUUUUCCGCUGGUGUUUGCCUCAGGGCUCAGGAGUGGGGAACCAAGUUGUCAAGAGGUGGGAAGGGGAAGUAAUUCAACACUAGUGCACUGCACCCCAUGCUGAGGGCCUGCUGGGGAUUGGCUCAUAUUACCUCAUGUGACAGGCUACAGUGCAAAAUAAUUUGUGCCCCAGGAGUUUCAGGAACACUAACAAGGGCACACAGUUAUUGCGAGAAGUUGGUUGGGUGGGCCUGAGUAGGCUAAGCCCAUCUGGGUGAUCCCCCAUCCCCUUUGCCUGUGCCAGUGGAAUGUGGCAUCUUCAGACUCUAGGGCAAGUUUGUGUGUGUGUGUUGGGGGGAAGGGCAUUUCUAGGAAAGAAAGUUCCUCACUGUUCUGAGCCAGCUCCUAUGAGAGGCUCUCUCCUGAGUGUAACACUCUAUGGAACUGACAAAGCCACUUUAUCCCCUCGAGGAAAUCUGCUGUAGGUGCACUCAGAGGGCAGCGUGGGAAGACACUGGGUCUUCGAUGAUGUCUUCGAGGCUCUGAGUGGAAUCAACCCUGAGGCUGCCCUCUUCUGGGUCUUCCAGUAACAGCUAACAGUAAACCUGCCGUGCUGUCUAAGCUAAUGUGGAGUUGUGUUUUCGGGUCCUCAGUCUGCUACGCCAUCCUCGUGGGUGUGAAGUGACAUCUCAUUAUGAUUAUCAUGUCUUCUUAAAGAAGCAAACACAACCAAAUUCAGAAGAAUUUAUAAGGCUGGUGUCUGAUUGAUUGAAAAGGCCCCAGGAAGUGGAUUUUGCCUUCAGAGUUCAACUCCUCCUCUGGUGCAGUCCCAAAACACUAGGUGGCAUGAGCAGAACAAGGAGGCGUACACACUGCAGGCAAAACUGCAAAGAAAGGGGCCACUUUCAUUCUGUACCCAUGGUGUGAAGAGUUAAAACCCAUCUAAGGAGACUUUCCAAGACUCUCUCUGGACGACCACUGUGUUCAUAAGUGCCCCUGUACAGCAGGAAGAUGGGGUGAUUUGCUAAGGUCUUUUCUAGCCUUGGAGAUUCUGGGAUUCUAGAAUUACUCUUUUAUAGUAAGACAUGAUCUCUGCAAUGUCAUUGAGAUUUAUAUGAGAAAAAAUGUUCUUUAGGGGCUAUCAAUUAAAACUUUAUACCACAAAA